UACGGAGGGGGCUAGCGUUGCUCGGAAUCACUGGGCGUAAAGGGUGCGUAGGCGGGUCUUUAAGUCAGAGGUGAAAUCCUGGAGCUCAACUCCAGAACUGCCUUUGAUACUGAAGAUCUUGAGUUCGGGAGAGGUGAGUGGAACUGCGAGUGUAGAGGUGAAAUUCGUAGAUAUUCGCAAGAACACCAGUGGCGAAGGCGGCUCACUGGCCCGAUACUGACGCUGAGGCACGAAAGCGUGGGGAGCAAACAGG
rnacentral:rRNA from 1 species